GGGGAAGUGGCUCAGUUUGGCAGAGCACCUGGUUUGGGACCAGGGGGUCGCAGGUUCAAAUCCUGUCUUCCCCACCA
rnacentral:tRNA from 1 species